CGCAGACCCCAUCCACAACCCCCUUCCCCACCAGCUUAGAGCUGGGGCUAAUGGGCAGGUGAGGAGGUGGGGGAGAACCCCAGGCCAGGCUUCUCCCGAAGAACCCCACGGGGUUUAAGAAGACCUGGGUGCUGUCACACCUUCACUACAUGCGAGUCAGUAGCCUCAGGCUUCCUGAUCUGUGGAAUGGGCACAUUAACGGCUGUGAGAGAACACAGAUGGCUGCUCAUCCACCCACUUACUUGGUGGAUAAGGACACCAAAGCGUAGAGAAAGGAAUGGACUUACCUCAAGUCACAAAGAAUUAGAGGCAGAGCUGGGAGGGUGUGAGGAGGCCACCUGUCCAGGUCAGAGCAGUGCGUCCCUUCACUGUUCCGGGACGUUCCUGCUGUUCAGCUCCCACGGGUGCGUGCUGAAUGUCAGCUGUGCUUAGCCCCGUGCUGGGCAUUGUGGGAGGGGAAGAGAAGAAGCUAUGGUUUCCUCGAUAUCUUGAGCGUUUACUGGGUGCCAGGCAGUGCACAGAGCGCUAUUUCGAAAUGGUUUCAUCUCAUCAUCAGAACUGGGGAACAGGAAGUGUUAUCCACCUGUUACAGGCAGCUAGGAAAAUGCAGCGCGGUGAAGAAAACCAACAUCGCCGAAGAUUAUCAUUUUUGAUGUAUUUCCUUCCUGUCUUUUAACAUCGAGGAACGCACACCAAGAAUAUUGUCUUCAAGGUUACUGUCUUCAAGGCUGCCACAGAGCUGAUGAGCGGGGGAUGGCCAAAGUAAGUAAAAUUAUCAUGAAGUUUUCUUGGUGAAAUUCAGCUGUUUCUUUCUUGUUUUGUUUUUUUUUUCUAAUGUUUAUUUAUUUAUUUUGAGGCAGAGGAAGCAGGGGGAGGAACAGAGAGAGAGAGGGAGAGAGAGAGAAUCCCAAGCAAGCUCUGCACAGUCAGCAGAGCCUGACAUGGGACUUGAUGUCAUGAACGGUGAGAGCAUGACCCGAGCUGAAAUCAAGAGUUGGAUGCUUAAUCAACUGAGCCACCCCGGCGCCCCUGUUGUUUGUUUCUUGAUAAGUGUUCACUUGGUUGCUCUAAACUUUGAGCUGUUUCCAGAGUUCUGGUAAAACUGAUUUUGAUAGUUUUGCCAGUUUGUUAGCUGCUUUUGUGAAGUGAUGGACUCUAGGAGUUCCCUACAUCCUCAGUUGUUUUUUUUUUUUUUUAGUGUAGAAUUUUUAUGUGAAAAUAAUUACCUUGUAUAUAAAAAUCUGCAUACUGAUUUUUUCACUUGAUGUUAUACCAUAAAAUUUUCUAUUUACUUGUAUUAUUCUUCAUAUAAAUAUCCACCUUAGUAGUUCAUUCGGCAAAUAUUUAUUGGGUACCAUUUACCUGGUGGUCACUCUUCCAGGGACUGAGUAUACAGUGGUGAGUGAAACAAGGCCCUGUCCUCACACAGCUUACAUUGGAGUAGGGAGUGAAGUAAGUGACAUAUAAAUACUCAUUCACUGUCGUUGCUGUUUAA